CCUACGGGAGGCAGCAGUCGAGAAUCAUUCACAAUGGGGGAAACCCUGAUGGUGCGACGCCGCGUGGGGGAAUGAAGGUCUUCGGAUUGUAAACCCCUGUCAUGUGGGAGCAAAUUAAAAAGAUAGUACCACAAGAGGAAGAGACGGCUAACUCUGUGCCAGCAGCCGCGGUAAUACAGAGGUCUCAAGCGUUGUUCGGAAUCACUGGGCGUAAAGCGUGCGUAGGCUGUUUCGUAAGUCGUGUGUGAAAGGCGCGGGCUCAACCCGCGGACGGCACAUGAUACUGCGAGACUAGAGUAAUGGAGGGGGAACCGGAAUGCUCGGUGUAGCAGUGAAAUGCGGAGAUAUCGAGAGGAACACUCGGGGCGAAGGCGGGUUCCUGGACAUUAACUGACGCUGAGGCACGAAGGCCAGGGGAGCGAAAGGGAUUAGAUACCCUAGUAGUC
rnacentral:rRNA from 1 species